rnacentral:rRNA from 1 species
CCUACGGGUGGCAGCAGUGAGGAAUAUUGGUCAAUGGGCGAGAGCCUGAACCAGCCAAGUCGCGUGAAGGAUGGCGGCCCUACGGGUUGUAAACUUCUUUGGUCAGGGAGCAUUUUGGUCCACGCUUGGGCUUAGCGAGAGUACCUGAAGUAAAAGCAUCGGCUAACUGCGUGCCAGCAGGCGCGGUUAUACGGAGGGUGCGAGCGUUAUCCGGAUUUAGUGGGUUUAGGGGGUGCGGAGGCGGAAUAUCAAGACAGGGGAAAAACUUCGGGUCUCCACGCCGUCGUGCCGUUGAAACUGCUGUGCUUGAGUGGGCGAGCAGUAUGCGGAAUGCGUGGUGUAGCGGUGAAAUGCAUAGAUAUCACGCAGAACACCGAUUGCGAAGGCAGCAUACCGGCGCGCAACUGACGCUGAAGCACGAAAGCGUGGGUAUCGAACAGGAUUAGAUACCCUGGUAGUC